UGUGUUCGAGCUUGUUAGAAAUGAUGAUAUUGAACUCAAAGUCUCCAUUUUCAGAAAGAAUGUCGAGACUCAGGCUUAAACUUUGGUAUGCCUGCAGAAAAAUCUCUGCUUCACUAUGUUUUGUCUAGCAGAUCGGAUGACGUCGUUUAGGGCAAGAGUGUUGAUCUC